AACGCGAAGAACCUUACCAGCUUUUGACAUGUCUUGGACGGAUACCAGAGAUGGUUUCCUCUCUUCGGAGCCGAGAACACAGGUGCUGCAUGGCUGUCGUCAGCUCGUGUCGUGAGAUGUUGGGUUAAGUCCCGCAACGAGCGCAACCCUCGCCCUUAGUUGCCAUCAUUAAGUUGGGCACUCUAGGGGGACUGCCGGUGAUAAGCCGGAGGAAGGUGGGGAUGACGUCAAGUCCUCAUGGCCCUUACAGGCUGGGCUACACACGUGCUACAAUGGCGGUGACAACGGGAUGCGAAGGGGCGACCCUUAGCAAAUCUCGAAAAGCCGUCUCAGUUCGGAUUGCACUCUGCAACUCGAGUGCAUGAAGUUGGAAUCGCUAGUAAUCGCGGAUCAGCACGCCGCGGUGAAUACGUUCCCGGGCCUUGUA
rnacentral:rRNA from 1 species